UAAUCCAUCUAUUCUUUUCCAUUUCAUUCCCCACCAUAUUUAAUUCAGAAUUUGGUAAUACUUGUUUUUUUGACGACAUUCUCUUUGAACAGCUGCAACCAGAUGUUGUUCUUUUCUUCUUCUUUCUUUCUUUCUUUCUUUUUAGCCUUAAGGAUCUCUGAUCUUCUUCUCAUUCCCUCCUUAAAUGAUUGCACCGCCUUAUUUGAAGUUUGUUCUUUUAAUUUGCUGUUGCAUUCCAUGUAACUUCCUUAUUAAUUGAAUGGUUCAAUCGGUUGCACCAUCGUUUUGUCUUGGCUUUGAGCGGCUGGCACGGUCCAAGGUGGUAGGUUUUCGUGUUGCACAAAAUCAUUAUUACAUUGGGGUUGGAGAUGAGCUUUAUUAUCUGCUGCAUUUUCCUUAUUCAGAUUUUCACCUACUGGAUCGGGUUCCGGAUCAUUACUCGGUUCAGGAGAAAUUCUUAUACAACCCAAAGUAUUUUCACAUGUAUGGGGUCCUCUUACUGGGAUUUUAAUCACUAAAGGUCUCGCAUAGCUUUUUAGGCCCAUACCCAAAUUGAUGAAUGGGUUUUGGUUACUUCUUUCUUCACCGCCUACUGUUUCCAGCCGACCACAAUUAAUUCCACCUGAUAAUUCUCUCUCUUCAUUUUCUCUCACGGUUUCUCCCUCGGAAUUCCCUAUUGCAUUGGAAGUAACCCCUUUCUUCCUCGAGCCCUUAUUUUUGGCAAACAUGCGUCUUUUCGGCUUUCUGUAACAAAUUCCAAUAAUUUUCUACCAUCAGCUUCCCUGACCUUUCAUCUUCCAUGGAGGAGAUUGACGGUGGGAUGAAAGUAUCUUCUGAGUUUAUUGAACAUCAUCUUCCUCAGCCACAUCCAUCUUAGGGACAAACCGAGCUUCAACGUCUCUUAUUCUGUUAUCAUAAUCACAUAUUUCUUCUGUUAUUCUGAUAUUGAAGCUCUCUUUAUUUAUGUGGAUUCUCCUAGUCUUGUUGAUGAAUUCAGAGGUUGACGUUCUGAUAACUUAAUAGUCACAGAGAAAAUUGGGAAGUCCUUUUAAUACCUUUGGAAAAGCAAACACACAUAUACUACACCAUGCUUCACUCUAUUUCUCUUCUUCAUCAUAAUCAUCGAUUCCUUUUCUCUUUCCAUAUCAAAUCUUCACUCUUGGAUUUACAGUCACACUUUCACUUUCACUCUCAAUUACACUCACAACAACAACCUCUCUCUUUUACAAAUAACUAUCUCUUCUAUCUUUUUCUCCAUCAUCAUCAUCAUCAUCAUCAUCAUCAUCAUGUUGUCGCAUCGCACGUAUUUCUAUAGAAGCAUUAGAGCCCAUAAAACUCACAUAAUUCACUGAUAUUGAUUUUUUUGGUCGACUUUCUUACAGUGGUGGUAAGGAUGAAAAUAUCGAAUUCCAGUCACAAAGAAAAGUUAAGCAUAUCAUGUUCCCCUUCAAAAUUAACUUUGGGCUAUUGUGGAGAGCAAGCCAAACAUGCACCCCUUCCUAAUUUAAUUUAUCAAUCAUGAGCUAAUACAAAGGAUGAGGUCGUAAAAAAUGCAACUAAUACAAAAAAGGUUGACUAUGAUUCUGAUUCUGACAAUGAAGAAAGCAACGAUGAGAAAAAAGAAAAAGAUUUGUCUGAAGAAUACUUGAAGAAUUGCUCACUAUUUUUUUUCUCUUUCUUCUCUUAGUUUUUUUUCCGAAGAAAUGGUGAUUUGAUGUAAGUUUAGUACUGAACUUGGUAUGAAUACAUCUGGUGAUAAGUUUUACAAACUAUUUGCAAAAAAACUUAACGAACUUCUAAUCCAUUGUGAUAGAAUUAAUUAUACCAAGCUGCAUGAAUGUGAAGACUGACAUGUGGAGUAUUUGUUGAUAGGAAUAUUUCAAAAUUAGGAUUAGUUGUUUAUAGAACUUAAUGAGAAAGUUUCCUAAUUAGAAAGUAAUUGUUGGAAUAGUGGAACAUGAUGUAUAUCAUAUAUCUGAGCAUUCUAAAGUGGUUAAAUUUUUUAAUAGAAUUUGAUUUGAAUUUGCUGAGUUCAAGAGUGGUUGUCAUAUAUAAGUCAAAAUCAUUAAAACAAUGGAACAUGAUAUAAAUCUGUUCUAUUUUGAUGAUUAUCAAUGCUCAAGAUUUUGUCAUUAGUGAUCCGCGUUAA